UACGUAGGGGGCGAGCGUUGUCCGGAAUUACUGGGCGUAAAGGGCGCGUAGGCGGCCCGCUAAGUCUGUUGUGAAAGACCGAGGCUCAACCUCGGGGUGUCAACGGAGACUGGUGGGCUCGAGUUUUGGAGAGGAGCGGGGAAUCCCUGGUGUAGCGGUGGAAUGCGUAGAGAUCAGGGGGAACACCGAUGGCGAAGGCACCGCUCUGGCCGAUGACUGACGCUGAGGCGCGAAAGCGUGGGGAGCGAACGGG
rnacentral:rRNA from 1 species